rnacentral:rRNA from 1 species
AUUGAACGCUGGCGGCAGGCCUAACACAUGCAAGUCAAGCGGAUGAGUGGAGCUUGCUCCAUGAUUCAGCGGCGGACGGGUGAGUAAUGCCUAGGAAUCUGCCUGGUAGUGGGGGACAACGUUUCGAAAGGAACGCUAAUACCGCAUACGUCCUACGGGAGAAAGUGGGGGAUCUUCGGACCUCACGCUAUCAGAUGAGCCUAGGUCGGAUUAGCUAGUUGGUGAGGUAAAGGCUCACCAAGGCGACGAUCCGUAACUGGUCUGAGAGGAUGAUCAGUCACACUGGAACUGAGACACGGUCCAGACUCCUACGGGAGGCAGCAGUGGGGAAUAUUGGACAAGGGGCGAAAGCCUGAUCCAGCCAUGCCGCGUGUGUGAAGAAGGUCUUCGGAUUGUAAAGCACUUUAAGUUGGGAGGAAGGGCAGUAAGCUAAUACCUUGCUGUUUUGACGUUACCGACAGAAUAAGCACCGGCUAACUCUGUGCCAGCCGCCGCAGUAAAAC